rnacentral:RNase_P_RNA from 1 species
UGAGUCGGCCAGGCGGUCGCGUCGAUCGGUAACCCCGGUACCCCGGGCAGUCCGAUCGCCGAGGAACGUCCGGGCUCCACAGGGCAGGGUGGUGGCUAACGGCCACCCGGGGUGACCCGCGGGACAGUGCCACAGAAAGCAGACCGCCCGCCAGCACCACGGCAACGCGGUGCAGGCGGGUAAGGGUGAAACGGCGGUGUAAGAGACCACCAGCGCCCCAGGUGACUGGGGCGGCUAGGUAAACCCCACCCGGAGCAAGACCAGACAGUGCGCGUUUAUCAGGGCUGCCCGCCCGAGUGCACGGGUAGGUCGCUAGAGGUGCCUGGCAACAGUCACCCGAGAUGGAUGGCCGCUCACGACAGAACCCGGCGUACCGGCCGACUCAUCCG